ensembl:snRNA U6 U6 spliceosomal RNA
GUGCUCACUCUGGCAGCACAUAUACUAAAAUUGGGAAGUUACAGACAAUAUCAACAUGGUCCCUGUGCAAGAAUGACAUGUGAAUUCAUGAAGUGAUCCAUAUUUUA